GACGAACGCUGGCGGCGUGCUUAACACAUGCAAGUCGAACGGUAAGGCCCUUCGGGGUACACGAGUGGCGAACGGGUGAGUAACACGUGGGUGAUCUGCCCUGCACUUCGGGAUAAGCCUGGGAAACUGGGUCUAAUACCGGAUAGGACCCUGGGAUGCAUGUCCUGGGGUGGCAAGCUUUUGCGGUGUGGGAUGGGCCCGCGGCCUAUCAGCUUGUUGGUGGGGUGGUGGCCUACGAAGGCGACGACGGGUAGCCGGCCUGAGAGGGUGACCGGCCACACUGGGACUGAGAUACGGCCCAGACUCCUACGGGAGGCAGCAGUGGGGAAUAUUGCACAAUGGGCGCAAGCCUGAUGCAGCGACGCCGCGUGAGGGAUGACGGCCUUCGGGUUGUAAACCUCUUUCAGCACCGACGAAGCGCAAGUGACGGUAGGUGCAGAAGAAGGACCGGCCAACUACGUGCCAGCAGCCGCCGUAA
rnacentral:rRNA from 1 species